rnacentral:rRNA from 1 species
GUAGCGAACGGGAUUAGAUACCCCGGUAGUCCACGCCCUAAACGAUGUCCGUUAGCUCUUUGGAGUAUCGACCCUCUGAGGGGCAAAGCUAACGCGUUAAACGGACCGCCUGGGUAGUACGGCCGCAAGGCUAAAACUCAAAGGAAUAGACGGGGGCUCGCACAAGCGGUGGAUCAUGUGGCUUAAUUCGUCGAUAAACGAAGAACCUUACCAGGAUUUGAAAUCAAACUGAAAGUUCCGUGAAAGCGGAACCCUCUUCGGACAGUUUGGCAGGUGUUGCAUGGCCGUCGUCAGUUCGUGAUUUGAAUUGUUCCCUUAAGUGGGGAAACGAACGCAACCCUUAUUGCCUGUUACAAGUGUCAGGCGAGACUGCUCCCUCACGGGAGAGGAAGGUGGGGAUGACGCCAGGUCAGUAUGACCCUUUGAUAUCCUGGGCUGCACACGUGAUACAAUGGUUACUACAACAGGACGCAAUACCGUAAGGUGGAGCAAAUCCUUAUAAAAGUAGCCCAAGUUCGGAUUGAGGUCUGCAAUUUGACCUCAUGAAGUUGGAAUCGCUAGUAAUCGCAGGUCAGCUAUACUGCGGUGAAUACGUUCUCGAGCCUUGUACUCACCGCCCGUCAAGUCAAGGAAGUCGGGAGUGCUCAAAGUUCCAUUUCGGUGGACCUACAGUAAACUCGAUAACAGGGGCUAAGUCGUAACAAGGCACGGCUAGCGGAAGCUGGUCGUG